rnacentral:rRNA from 1 species
UACGUAGGUGGCAAGCGUUGUCCGGAAUUAUUGGGCGUAAAGCGCGCGCAGGCGGUCCUUUAAGUCUGAUGUGAAAGCCCACGGCUCAACCGUGGAAGGUCAUUGGAAACUGGAGGACUUGAGUACAGAAGAGGAAAGCGGAAUUCCACGUGUAGCGGUGAAAUGCGUAGAGAUGUGGAGGAACACCAGUGGCGAAGGCGGCUUUCUGGUCUGUAACUGACGCUGAGACGCGAAAGCGUGGGGAGCAAACAGG